rnacentral:rRNA from 1 species
AACGAACGCUGGCGGCAGGCUUAACACAUGCAAGUCGAACGGUGUAGCAAUACACAGUGGCGCACGGGUGAGUAACGCGUGGGAACGUGCCCUUCAGUACGGAAUAACGUCGGGAAACUGACGCUAAUACCGUAUAUUCCCUCCGGGGGAAAGAUUUAUCGCUGAAGGAUCGGCCCGCGUUAGAUUAGGUAGUUGGUGGGGUAAUGGCCUACCAAGCCUACGAUCUAUAGCUGGUCUGAGAGGAUGAUCAGCCACACUGGAACUGAGACACGGUCCAGACUCCUACGGGAGGCAGCAGUGGGGAAUAUUGGACAAUGGGGGAAACCCUGAUCCAGCCAUGCCGCGUGAGUGAUGAAGGCCUUAGGGUUGUAAAGCUCUUUUGUCAGGGAAGAUGAUGACGGUACCUGAAGAAUAAGCACCGGCUAACUUCGUGCCAGCAGCCGCGGUAA